rnacentral:rRNA from 1 species
GUGGGGAGCAAACAGGAUUAGAUACCUGGUAGUCCACGCUGUAAACGAUGUCGAUUUGGAGGUUGUGCCCGUGAGGCGUGGCUUCCGGAGCUAACGCGUUAAAUCGACCGCUGGGGAGUACGGCCGCAAGGUUAAAACUCAAAUGAAUUGACGGGGGCCCGCACAAGCGGUGGAGCAUGUGGUUUAAUUCGAUGCAACGCGAAGAACCUUACCUACUCUUGACAUCCAGAGAACUUUCCAGAGAUGGAUUGGUGCCUUCGGGAACUCUGAGACAGGUGCUGCAUGGCUGUCGUCAGCUCGUGUUGUGAAAUGUUGGGUUAAGUCCCGCAACGAGCGCAACCCUUAUCCUUUGUUGCCAGCGGUUCGGCCGGGAACUCAAAGGAGACUGCCAGUGAUAAACUGGAGGAAGGUGGGGAUGACGUCAAGUCAUCAUGGCCCUUACGAGUAGGGCUACACACGUGCUACAAUGGCGUAUACAAAGAGAAGCGACCUCGCGAGAGCAAGCGGACCUCAUAAAGUACGUCGUAGUCCGGAUUGGAGUCUGCAACUCGACUCCAUGAAGUCGGAAUCGCUAGUAAUCGUAGAUCAGAAUGCUGCGGUGAAUACGUUCCCGGGCCUUGUACACACCGCCCGUCACACCAUGGGAGUGGGUUGCAAAAGAAGUAGGUAGCUUAACCUUCGGGAGGGCGCUUACCACUUUGUGAUUCAUGACUGGGGUGAAGUCGUAACAAGGUAACCA